GGGUCGGUGGCAGAGCGGUCAAAUGCAUCAGACUGUAAAUCUGACGUCUUCGGACUUCGGGGGUUCGAUUCCCUCCCGGCCCACAA
rnacentral:tRNA from 1 species